rnacentral:rRNA from 1 species
AUUGAACGCUGGCGGCAUGCUUUACACAUGCAAGUCGAACGGCAGCGCGGGCUUCGGCCUGGCGGCGAGUGGCGAACGGGUGAGUAAUGCAUCGGAACGUGCCCAGUAGUGGGGGAUAGCCCGGCGAAAGCCGGAUUAAUACCGCAUACGACCUGAGGGUGAAAGCGGGGGACCGAAAGGCCUCGCGCUAUUGGAGCGGCCGAUGUCGGAUUAGCUAGUUGGUGGGGUAAAGGCUUACCAAGGCGACGAUCCGUAGCUGGUCUGAGAGGACGACCAGCCACACUGGGACUGAGACACGGCCCAGACUCCUACGGGAGGCAGCAGUGGGGAAUUUUGGACAAUGGGGGCAACCCUGAUCCAGCCAUGCCGCGUGCGGGAAGAAGGCCUUCGGGUUGUAAACCGCUUUUGUUCGGGAAGAAAUCCUCUGGGCUAAUACCCCGGGGGGAUGACGGUACCGGAAAGAUA